GGCGCCAUGGCUCAGUCGGUUAGAGCGUGGAUCUAAUAAUCCCAAGGUCGCCAGUUCGACCCCUGCUGGUGGCA
rnacentral:tRNA from 1 species